GACGAACGCUGGCGGCGUGCUUAACACAUGCAAGUCGAACGGUAAGGCUCCAGCUUGCUGGGGUACACGAGUGGCGAACGGGUGAGUAACACGUGGGUGACCUGCCCUGCACUUCGGGAUAAGCCUGGGAAACUGGGUCUAAUACCGGAUAGGACCGCACCGUGAGGGUGUGGUGGAAAGUUUUUUCGGUGUGGGAUGGGCCCGCGGCCUAUCAGCUUGUUGGUGGGGUAAUGGCCUACCAAGGCGGCGACGGGUAGCCGGCCUGAGAGGGUGGACGGCCACAUUGGGACUGAGACACGGCACAGACUCCUACGGGAGGCAGCAGUGGGGAAUAUUGCACAAUGGGCGGAAGCCUGAUGCAGCGACGCCGCGUGGGGGAUGACGGCCUUCGGGUUGUAAACUCCUUUCACCAUCGACGAAGGGUUUCUGACGGUAGAUGGAGAAGAAGCACCGGCUAACUACG
rnacentral:rRNA from 1 species